UACGCCUUCGGGACCGGCUAUGAUCUCGCGCGCCUGCCGCGCACGCGGAUCGCCUAUGCGGGGCAGGCGUUGGACGCGCCUUGGCGCGCC
rnacentral:tRNA from 1 species